GAAAUGCGAUAAUUAAUGUGAAUUGCAGAAUUCAGUGAAUCAUCGAGUCUUUGAACGCACAUUGCGCCCCCUGGUAUUCCGGGGGGCAUGCCUGUCCGAGCGUCAUUGCUGCCCUCAAGCACGACUUGUGUGUUGGGCUUCCGUCCCUGGCAACGGGGACGGGCCCAAAAGGCAGUGGCGGCACCAUGUCUGGUCCUCGAGCGUAUGGGACUUUGUCACCCGCUCCCGUAGGUCCAGCUGGCAGCUAGCCUCGCAACCAAUCUUUUUAACCAGGUUGACCUCGGAUCAGGUAGGGAUACCCGCUGAACUUAAGC
rnacentral:misc_RNA from 1 species